AUUGAACGCUGGCGGCAUGCCUUACACAUGCAAGUCGAACGGUAACGGGCGUUAGGGGGACGAAGAGUGGCGGAAGGGAACGGAUGAGUAAGGAACGGGCAAGAUGGUGGGGGGUGAGGGGGCGAAAGCGGAGAUAAAACCGAAUACGGCAUAAGGAUGAAAGAAGCAGACCGCAAGGCUGAACGCGGCAGGAGCGGCCGUUGGCGGAUUAGGUAGUUGGUGGGAGAAAAGCGUACCAGGCCGACGAUCUGUAGCUGGUCUGAGAGGAUGAUCAGCCACACUGGGACUGAGACACGGCCCAGACUCCUACGGGAGGCAGCAGUGGGGAAUUUUGGACAAUGGGCGCAAGCCUGAUCCAGCCAUGCCGCGUGCAGGAUGAAGGCCUUCGGGUUGUAAACUGCUUUUGUACGGAACGAAAAGCCUUCUUUUAAUACAGGAGGGUCAUGACGGUACCGUAAGAAUAAGCACCGGCUAACUACGUG
rnacentral:rRNA from 1 species